GCGAUGAAUCAGGCGGCCGCCCCGCCGUUACGCGCCCCGCAUCUUUGUUGUACUGCCGGAGGGUGUUUUAACAGGGGGGAGGAAAGUCCGGACUCCGCGGGCCGGGAUGCCGGGUAAUUCCCGGGAGUCCAGUCACAAAAGACUGGGCGACAGACAGCGCAGCAGAAAACAAACUACCGGCGCGGGUUUUUCGCACAGCGAAAAGCCCGCGCCGGAAAAGGUGAAAAGGCGGGGUAAAAGCCCACCGCGGCGGCGGCACCGGCGCCGGCAGUGCAAGCCUCAUCCGGAGCAAAGUUAAACAGCUGUGACGAAGGGCAGCCUUCACGGACGGGCCCGUCCGGGGACGGCGUCUUUGACGUCGUCCGGCACAGCGGGUAGACUGCAAAGAGUGUUUCGGCAACGAAAAACCAAGACAGAUGGCCGCGCGAUUUUGCCGCAGGGUAAAAUCGACAGAAUCCGGCUUAUGAUUCAUCGCUUUU
rnacentral:RNase_P_RNA from 1 species